rnacentral:rRNA from 1 species
UACGUAGGGUGCAGGCGUUAAUCGGAAUUACUGGGCGUAAAGCGUGCGCAGGCGGUUUGCUAAGACAGAUGUGAAAUCCCCGGGCUCAACCUGGGAACUGCAUUUGUGACUGCAAGGCUAGAGUACGGUAGAGGGGGAUGGAAUUCCGCGUGUAGCAGUGAAAUGCGUAGAUAUGCGGAGGAACACCGAUGGCGAAGGCAAUCCCCUGGACCUGUACUGACGCUCAUGCACGAAAGCGUGGGGAGCAAACAGG